UGGCCAAUGGGAGCUGCAGGAGUGGUGCCUGCAGGCAGGGACAGCGCACGGAGCCACCUGUCCACCCCUAGGAGCCAGAGGGACAUGCUAGCUGCUUCUGGAAGCCACCUGAGAAUGGCUCCCAGAAGAAGUAUGAUAUGGAAGAUUGAGAGUACAGAAUUCCUAUAUUGCUAUGAAAACUAGUAGGGCUACAUAUAAAUGAAGUGCAAAGCUGGGCCUGUGUUUUGUAGGAGAAGUGGCAGGGCCUCAAACCGCAGCUGAAUAUGACAAGGCCUUAAUCCUUCAAACGCUGCGGGUUCUGGAACAUCAACCAAAGAGCUCAGAGAGAGCGGUUGAGAGGAAUGCGGUGCUGCUGAUAUUCCUCUGCUGCAGCUACAAGAACAAAGGUCAGCGGCAAACAGCCAAGCAAAAGAAUUUCUUCAAAAGAACAGCUUGAUGUCGGUAUUAGCUAUGACCUGCCAGUAUAACAAAGAAGGAUGCAGAUGAACAACAUCAACCUCUAGUAACUGAGCUUUCCCAUAUACUAUAAGCAUUGCAUCAUACAGUGCCAUUACACUAACAGCUUGCAUAAGUAAUGAUAUAUGUUCUCUAAUUCCAGUCCAACUCUUGCACAAGACUGCACAGAAAGGCAAAGAAAUAGAAAAUCAGACUGACUCAGAAUGUUGGAAAAAGAUAUAAGACAGCAGCUCUCAUUCAGACUACUACAUUUCUGCUAUUUAUGGAAGAUAAAAGCAAUACAUUAUUUUCCUCACCCAACCACAGAACAAAACCUGUCUCACUAUCAUAUACCACAUGUAACUAUUAUUGCAGAUAACUUUUCAUGGUACAUUUUAAUUUAGUUAGUUAGUAUUUAAAAGUGAAACAACCCAAAGAAAUGAAAACAGGAGGAGGAGGAGAAGGAAUGUAAGUGUUGUACAGAGGGUAUAACUGGUGGCAAUGGGGUGAAAUUAAGAAAAGAGGAAGCUUAAGCUGAAUAUAAGAAUACAUUUUAUAACAGGGAGAUUUAGGCGUUGGAAUAGCUUCCCCAGGGAAGUGGUAGACGCUGUAUUGCUUGAAACACCGAAUGUACAGAGUAUGAGAACGUAUAUAACAGUGGAAGAGUGAUGAACUGAUUAAAUACAUCUCUGAGAUCAAGGACAUUCUGUAAAUACAUGUCUGCAUGUGGUACUGUCCAUACUGAAAUCUGAAGCAGCAUCCACAGCUUCCUAAAGGAAAGAAGACUACUCACUGAUCAAUAGGUGCCCCUCUGGCAGAUUACAGAAUGGUACGGGCCAUCUGUUCAAAAGGAAUGCUGUCCAGUCCUUGUUUGCUUAGAAGGACUGAAACCUGACUUUUAAGAGGGGCUUUUAAGAUGGGGGUAAAAAGGGAAGGCAUUUGUGAGUAGAUGGAAUUAUCUCGAACAGGCAAAUAUACAUGUUUGCUCGCCAGGCUGAUUAAACUCACCUUAAUAGUUAUACUUUCAAAUCCAUAAAAAGACAAUAUAGCAAGAACGUAUGAAUUACUAAUAAAACAUGUA